AUGGGGGGCCCAGGUUGUGGCAAAGGGACACAGUGCAAGAAUAUGGCGACCAAGUACGGCUUCUGCCAUGUGGGGCUGGACCAGCUACUGAGACGGGAGGCUCAAAGGAGCACGCAGCAGGGCCGGCAGAUCUGUGACAUCAUGCUGCAGGGGCUCCUGGUGCCCGCAGGCAUCAUCCCAGAUAUGGUCAGUGACAACAUGUUGGCCCGCCCGGAGAGCCGGGGCUUCCUCAUCGAUGGCUUUCCCCCGGGAGGUGAAGCAGGCCAUGGAGUUUGAGCGCAUCGUGGGCCGGGCCCCCAGUGUCCUCAUCGUGUUUGACUGCUCCAUGGAGACGAUGCUCCGACGAGUGCUACACUGGGGCCAGGUGGAGCACCGAGCACACGACUCGGAGCUGGCCAUCCACCAGCGCUUGGACACGCACUAUACCUUGUGUGAGCUGGUCUUGACCUUCUACCAGCGCAAUAACCUGCUCCAAAACAUCCCGGCAGAGGAAGCACCAGAGAACAUCUUUGCCAAGUGCUGCUCUGUCAUUGAAGAGUCUGCAGUGA
rnacentral:sRNA from 1 species